rnacentral:rRNA from 1 species
AUUGAACGCUGGCGGCAGGCCUAACACAUGCAAGUCGAACGAGUGGCGGACGGGUGAGUAAUGUCUGGGAAACUGUCCGAUGGAGGGGGAUAACUACUGGCAACGGUAGCUAAUACCGCAUCCCAUCGGAUGUGCCCAGAUGGGAUUAGCUAGUAGGUGGGGUAAUGGCUCACCUAGGCGACGAUCCCUAGCUGGUCUGAGAGGAUGACCAGACACACUGGAACGGAGACACGGUCCAGAGUCCUACGGGAGGCAGGAGUGGGGAAGAUUGAACAAUGGGGGCAAGCCUGAUGGAGCCAAGCCGCGUGUAUGAAGAAGGCCUUCGGGUUGUAAAGUACUGUCAGCGAGGAGGCGUUACUCGCAGAAGAAGCACCGGCUAACUCCGUGCCAGCAGACGCGGUAAUAC